CACACGUAGUACAUCACGCUCUGGCCCGCCAUGAAGUGCUGCUCCGCCGUCUCCAGGAAGCGCUCCAGGUACUUCUCCGGCUUGAGAGAGGCUGUGCAACUCACCCACAGCAGCCGCGAUCUGGGCCUCCUCCUAUGUGCCCCUGUUCAGACCCCUGCUCCAUGAACUGGGCAGACCCAUGUCCACUAAAGUGCUGAGGAAGUGACAGCGUGUGAUUUCUGAGGCUAGAUCAUAAAGGGCACAGCAGUUCUCACCUCACUCUUCUGCCUGGGUUACUGCAGAGUAAGCCAGCUACCAGUAAGCCACCCCAGCAACCCUUUGGAGAGGCAUGCGUGGAGAACAGCCAAGGCCCUGGUGGUCCCCGGCCUCCUUGCCGUGUGAGUGAACCGUGCUGGAAGUGGGUUUUCUGGCUCCAGACCUCAGACACUGCAGCCUGUAUGGCGUCUUCCCUGAGACCUCAUAUGACCUCAAACUCAUACACUGGGUUUGUGGAAGGGAGCAGAUAACCUCUCUGUUUCCAGUUCUUAGAGGAACUGGACACCAGGAGCCUCAUACCAGGACUGCCCAGCCGAGCCACUCGAUUCCUGACCCACAUGGCCCUUGAGAUGACAAGUGAUUGAUUGCUGCUUAAAGUCACUGAGUUCUGGAAUAAUUUACAUCAUGGCAAUAGGUAACUAAUGCAGAUUCUGGUACCUGGAAAAGGAGUGCUGACAUCAAACAGCUCUAUAGAUGUGGGCGUGGCCUCAGAACUGGCCACAGGCAGGAGCCAGAAGGACUCUGUGGAAAGCGUGAGUGUCUAAGGUGCUUUGAGAGACUGUAUAUAGAAGUCUCAUGGCCUUUAGGGAAGCUGCUGG
rnacentral:antisense_RNA from 1 species